CCCUUAGAUGUUCUGGGCCGCACGCGCGCUACACUGACGAAUGCAACGAGCUUAUAACCUUGGCCGAAAGGUCUGGGUAAUCUCCAAAUUUCGUCGUGAUGGGGAUAGAUUAUUGCAAUUAUUAAUCUUCAACGAGGAAUGCCUAGUAAGCGCAAGUCAUCAGCUUGCGUUGAUUACGUCCCUGCCCUUUGUACACACCGCCCGUCGCUCCUACCGAUUGAAUGGUCCGGUGAAAUCUCGGGACGGCGGCUUGGUCGCUUGCGUCCGACUGCUGAAACUUGAUUAAACCAUAUCAUUUAGAGGAAGGUGAAGUCGUAACA
rnacentral:rRNA from 1 species